GGGCCCGUAGCUCAGUUGGUUAGAGCGCUUGCAUGGCAUGCAAGAGGUCGCUGGUUCGACUCCAGUCGGGUCCA
rnacentral:tRNA from 1 species